GACGUAGGGCGCGAGCGUUGUCCGGGAUUUAUUGGGCGUAAAGAGCUCGUAGGCGGCUUGUCGCGUCGUCUGUGAAAUCCCGCGGCUCAACUGCGGGCUGCAGUCGAUACGGGCAGGCUGGAGUUCGGUAGGGGAGACUGGAAUUCCUGGUGUAGCGGUGAAAUGCGCAGAUAUCAGGAGGAACACCGGUGGCGAAGGCGGGUCUCUGGGCCGAUACUGACGCUGAGGAGCGAAAGCGUGGGGAGCGAACAGG
rnacentral:rRNA from 1 species